rnacentral:rRNA from 1 species
GACGAACGCUGGCGGCGUGCCUAAUACAUGCAAGUAGAACGCAGUUGCGAACGGGUGAGUAACGCGUAGGUAACUGCCUGGUAGCGGGGGAUAAAUAUUGGAAACGAUAGCUAAUACCGCAUACUACCAGAUGGACCUGCGUUGUAUUAGCUAGUUGGUGGGGUAACGGCUCACCAAGGCAACGAUACAUAGCCGACCUGGGAGGGUGUUCGGACAAACUGGUACGGAGACCCGGCCCAGACUCCUAAGGGAGGCAGCAGUAGGGGAUCUUCGGAAAUGGACGGAAGUCUGACCGCGCAAAGCCGCGGGAGUGAAUAAGGUUUUUGGAUCGUAAAGCUAUGUGUUAAGAGAAGCGGUAUCUUACCAGAAAGGGACGGCUAACUACGUGCCAGCAGCCGCGGUAAUUC